UACGUAGGGUGCAAGCGUUGUCCGGAAUUAUUGGGCGUAAAGAGCUCGUAGGCGGUUUGUUGCGUCGGCUGUGAAAUCCCGAGGCUCAACCUCGGGUCUGCAGUCGAUACGAGCAAACUAGAGUGUUGCAGGGGAGACUGGAAUUCCGGGUGUAGCGGUGAAAAUGCGUAGAUAUCCGGAGGAACACCGGUGGCGAAGGCGGCCUGCUGGGCAGUAGCUGACGCUGAGGCGCGACAGCGUGGGGGAGCAAACAGG
rnacentral:rRNA from 1 species